rnacentral:rRNA from 1 species
AGAGUUUGAUCAUGGCUCAGGAUGAACGCUGGCGGCGUGCUUAACACAUGCAAGUCGAACGAAGCACCUUGAUUUGAUUCUUCGGAUGAAGAUCUUGGUGACUGAGUGGCGGACGGGUGAGUAACGCGUGGGUAACCUGCCUCAUACAGGGGGAUAACAGUUAGAAAUGACUGCUAAUACCGCAUAAGACCACAGCACCGCAUGGUGCAGGGGUAAAAACUCCGGUGGUAUGAGAUGGACCCGCGUCUGAUUAGGUAGUUGGUGGGGUAACGGCCUACCAAGCCGACGAUCAGUAGCCGACCUGAGAGGGUGACCGGCCACAUUGGGACUGAGACACGGCCCAAACUCCUACGGGAGGCAGCAGUGGGGAAUAUUGCACAAUGGGGGAAACCCUGAUGCAGCGACGCCGCGUGAGCGAUGAAGUAUUUCGGUAUGUAAAGCUCUAUCAGCAGGGAAGAAAAUGACGGUACCUGACUAAGAAGCACCGGCUAAAUACGUGCCAGCAGCCGCGGUAAUACGUAUGGUGCAAGCGUUAUCCGGAUUUACUGGGUGUAAAGGGAGCGUAGACGGAGUGGCAAGUCUGAUGUGAAAACCCGGGGCUCAACCCCGGGACUGCAUUGGAAACUGUCAAUCUAGAGUACCGGAGAGGUAAGCGGAAUUCCUAGUGUAGCGGUGAAAUGCGUAGAUAUUAGGAGGAACACCAGUGGCGAAGGCGGCUUACUGGACGGUAACUGACGUUGAGGCUCGAAAGCGUGGGGAGCAAACAGGAUUAGAUACCCUGGUAGUCCACGCCGUAAACGAUGACUACUAGGUGUCGGGCAGCAAAGCUGUUCGGUGCCGCAGCAAACGCAAUAAGUAGUCCACCUGGGGAGUACGUUCGCAAGAAUGAAACUCAAAGGAAUUGACGGGGACCCGCACAAGCGGUGGAACAUGUGGUUUAAUUCGAUGAUACGCGAGGAACCUUACCCGGGCUUGAAUUGCAGGAGAACGAUACAGAGAUGUUGAGGUCCUUCGGGACUCCUGUGAAGGUGCUGCAUGGUUGUCGUCAGCUCGUGCCGUGAGGUGUCGGCUUAAGUGCCAUAACGAGCGCAACCCCUCUCCGUAGUUGCCAUCAGGUGAUGCUGGGCACUCUGCGGACACUGCCGCCGUAAGGUGUGAGGAAGGUGGGGAUGACGUCAAAUCAGCACGGCCCUUACGUCCGGGGCUACACACGUGUUACAAUGGGUCAUACAGAAUGUUGUGCGUAUGCAAAUACGUUCUAAUCAUUAAAAUGAUCCUCAGUUCGGAUUGGGGUCUGCAACCCGACCCCAUGAAGCUGGAUUCGCUAGUAAUCGCGCAUCAGCCAUGGCGCGGUGAAUACGUUCCCGGGCCUUGUACACACCGCCCGUCAAGCCAUGAAAGCCGGGGGCGCCUGAAGUCCGUAACCGCAAGGAUCGGCCUAGGGUGAAACCGGUGAUUGGGGCUAAGUCGUAACAAGGUA